GUGCUCGCUUCAGCAGCACAUAUACUAAAAGUGGAAUGAUCCAGAGAAGAUUAACACGGUCCCUACACAAGGACGACAUGCAGAUGUGUGAAGCAUUCCAUAUUUAA
ensembl:snRNA U6 U6 spliceosomal RNA